rnacentral:tRNA from 1 species
UUUAUGUUAAGGGCCCAUAGCUCAGGCGGUUAGAGUGCACCCCUGAUAAGGGUGAGGUCGGUAGUUCGAAUCUACCUGGGCCCACCAUUCAAUCAGGCAAGGGGCCGUAGCUCAGCUGGGAGAGCGCCUGCUUUGCAAGCAGGAUGUCAGCGGUUCGAUCCCGCUCGGCUCCACCAGUUGCGAAUUUAUAGUUUUUUUUGUUCUAGGGGAUUUUUUUUAGAGCAAUAGUUUUUUGAAAAUUGAAUAGAAGGUAGAUUUUUUUGUAUUUUUUAUAUUGGCAUUGUAUGCGAUAUGGGAGGUACCGACGUUGUAUAACCGCACGUUGAAGAUUUAUCUCAGGAAAUUGGUCUAUUGAAAGAGCAUAAAUUAUUUAUGUUUUUUUAAUUAAGAAACGUUUGUAAUGAACUUUAUGACGUAUUGACAAUGAGAGUGAU